rnacentral:misc_RNA from 1 species
UUUCCGUAGGUGAACCUGCGGAAGGAUCAUUACCGAGUUAGGGUCCAUCAAGGGCCCGACCUCCCAACCCUUUGCUUAUUAUACCUUGUGUUGCUUCGGUAGGUCUGGCUCGUCCUACCGGAGGACCGUAAAACGUCCUCUGGAGAGUGCCUACCGAUAGCCCAAACCAAAAACUCUUGAACAAAACAUGUCUUGUCUGAGUAAACAAAAAAAAUUAAAGCAAAACUUUCAACAACGGAUCUCUUGGUUCUG